UCGCAUCCUGAGGCUGUAGCAGGUCUCAAGGGUUGGUCUGUUCGCCCAUUAAAGCGG
rnacentral:ncRNA from 1 species